rnacentral:rRNA from 1 species
AUGUGUUGCAUUGUAGUACCGGCUACUCGCCGCGCCAUAUUUUGUAGUGGCUGCUGGAGCAAGCGCCAUGCUGGGCGCCAAAAAAGGCUAUUUCGGCGCUGUAAAAAAAUUAGCACGCCUGUUGGAGAUGCUCUAAGAUAUGAGGAGGCCUCUUGACAGAAUGUUAACCUACAAAAAUAUUCUAUUUUCUUUGGGAAGGGUUGUCUAUAGGAGCAAAAGGAAGUCUUGAAGCAAGUCAUUGGAAUUGAUUCGGAAGCUCUUAGUAAGAGAUACUUGGGGCUCCCAACGGUGGUCGGGAAAUUGAAAUAUGGUACGUUCAAGUAUGUAACGGAGUGUUCUAAAGAAAAAGUGGCAUGUUGGAAGGGAUGGGGCCUCUCAAAGGCUGCUAGAGAAUUACUAGUCAAAUCCAUUCUCCAAGCUACACCGACAUUCACUAUGAGUUGUUUUCAUCUCACAAAGAAGAUGUGCCAGAAUUUGACAUUAAUCGCUUUUAAAUUCUGGUGGGGUGCAAUGAAUGGUGAAUGCAAGGUGCACUGGAUAGCGUGGGAUAAGAUGUGCUAG